GAAGUUCGCCAGGCAACCGCGGCGCACAAGUCGAGGAAAGUCCGGGCCCCUCAGAGCAGGAUGCCGGCUAACCGCCGGGCGCCAUAGGUCGCAUGACCGAAAGCGACGGAAAGUGUCGCCCGCAGGGGCGACCCGCAGCGACCAUCGACCCGGGCCGGCAUCGCCGGUGGGGCGACCCGAGGUGGUCUCUGCCGGCAACAGAAAGGAUACCGCCGACGGCACCGGGUGCCGGGCAAGGGUGAAAUGGUGGGGUAAGAGCCCACCGCGCGGCUGGCAACAGUCGCGGCACGGCAAACCCCAUCCGGGGCAAGGCCAAAUAGGGGAGCAAGGGCGUGGCUCGCGUCGCUCCCGGGUAGGCCGCUUGAGCGGCCCGGUAACGGGUCGCCCAGAGGAAUGGUUGCCCGACGCCCGAAAGGGCGUCCGACAGAACCCGGCUUAUCGGCGGACUUCCCAC
rnacentral:RNase_P_RNA from 1 species